rnacentral:ncRNA from 1 species
UGAAACGCUUCGACUGGGAGCAUUAAGGAAUCGUGAUUGUUUUUAGAGAGCUGCCGCUUUGGUGAAAGGCAGUCAAUCGCUUCCCCAACUCGCCCAUGAGCGGCAAAGCUGAAACAUUAUUAGGCUUUGACGGACGCCCCGUAAUCAGCCUUUAAGCGGGUUUAUGCGAAUGCAUAAGCCAACAAGAGUGGUACCACGGAAGGUUAACGCCUGUCGUCUCUUUU